GUGUUGAGAAAGUGCAAAAAGGCCCAGAACUCUGAGGACGCAUCGUCGGAGGAAGAGGAAAAAGAGUGAUUGAGAGAGAGAAAGAGAGGAAAAGAGAAUGUUGGGGACACUCGGCUGCACCCAAGGAUGUGCACGUGAGACGAUGUGUCCAUUCAACCAACCAACCACAACCACACCACCACCACCACCACCAACCACCUCUCUCUCACCACCAGUUCAGCCGCGCGUGUGUUGCGCGUUAGAGUAUUGUUGUGAAUUCAAAUGAGAUAUUGGAAAGUACAGCUUCUUCAACUCUUCUCCCACCCAACUGUCCAGAAAAAAAGGGCCAUCUCCAAGAGCAGCAAAACAAACCCAAAUGAACAAAGCGCGAAAAGUAUUCUUUCAUCCUGUGUUGUAGCUUUUGCAGUUGUUUGUUGUGUUCAUCUAAGCGUACUUUAGUUGCGGAAAAUAAUUAAUAUAGUUGUUUGUUAUAUACGAUAUGAUCGAAACAAGAAAUAAAAUAAAUAAAGCCCAAUUAUUGCUUCUACUAAACGAAUAUUGUUCAUUUGCCAUCAGAACAUAAAGCAUUUGCUCUCUCGUAACCUAUGUGUGUGUGUGUCUUUCUCUCGAAAAUAUAUGUCUAUUGUCGUACUUUAAUUAGUAUUUACUAAGCAAGAACAACCAAAAAUGAAUGCUACACCCCCAUCUACCUCUUUCCAAGCUGCAUUGUUUGACGGUGUAUAUGUAAACCCCUUGAUGCAUAAAGUGUUCCGGAGCGCGAUCGAACCAAAACAAAACCAUACUUCUUUGCGUGUUUUGUGUGUAUGUGUUACGGAAAUCUUGUUACAUCUAAAAUACGUAGAUUUGCAAAGAAUGUUCACAACGAUUUGAAUAAAUAAAAAAAGCCGAGUUUUGCUGUGCAGAUUUAUUAAAUGCUUCCAUACCUCCACUUCCUCGGCAGUAUACGAAACUACCUAAAUCUGUUGUUCUUUUUGAUAGCCAAAGCUUGAAGGAAACGAUACGGCGAAUGAAACAUAUCUGCAAUUAGAGAAGUUGUGCGAUUCGAAAAUUAUAACACCACGUGUCGUGCGGCCACGCACCGCGCGCCGCCUCCCUGGGGCAACCUUAUGCAUACGGUCCAAAUACUACCGGAUUCUCACUCCAGACUUUAAAGCGGCUGAAAGAGGCACUUUGCGGGCUGUGCACUUAGUUUCACUUUUACUGUAAUUACUUAAUUGACGUGUGUCUAUCAUUGUAAGCAUAUAUUAAAAAUAAAUCUUGCCUUUGCCAGUCAAACACACAGCAUAUUAUAAUACUUGUCACAAAUAUACCUAUAUAUAUAUAAUUAUUAUUGUACACUGUAAAGUUUCUUAUUGCGCGCGCCCUUUCGACUUAUUACCGUUUUUUGUUGAAACGUGUUUUCUCAAGCGUUCUGUACUACUCAUGUUUGUUUCAAUGCUGCAAUUGUAUUUUUUAUCACUCUCUUUCCUGUAUCAAAUUAACUUUAAGCAAACCUUUUUCACAAUCUACCAAUUUGCUCAAUUUAUUAUAGAUUAAAUAUUCUAAUUCGUAAAUUUUCAUCCACUU